rnacentral:rRNA from 1 species
AGCCCGCUCAGAAACUUAAAUGAAUUGACGGGGCCCGCACAAGCGGUGAGCAUGUGGUUUAAUUCGAUGAUACGCGAGGAACCUUACCUGGGCUCAAAUGUAUGUUGACGUAUUCUGAAAGGGAUACUUCUUCGGACAAUAUACAAGGUGCUGCAUGGUUGUCGUCAGCUCGUGCCGUGAGGUGUCGGGUUAAGUCCCAUAACGAGCGCAACCCCUAUCAUUAGUUGCCAUCAGGUCAAGCUGGGGACUCUAAUGAAACUGCCUACGCAAGUAGUGAGGAAGGUGGGGAUGACGUCAAAUCAGCACGGCCCUUACGUCCAGGGCUACACACGUGCUACAAUGGCCGGUACAAAGGGCAGCUACCUGGUGACAGGAUGCUAAUCUCAAAAGCCGGUCUCAGUUCGGAUCGGAGUCUGCAACCCGACUCCGUGAAGCUGGAAUCGCUAGUAAUCGUGGAUCAGCAUGCCACGGUGAAUACGUUCCCGGGCCUU